rnacentral:rRNA from 1 species
GAUGAACGCUGGCGGCGUGCUUAACACAUGCAAGUCGAACGGGAAUUCUUUUAUUGUACCUUCGGUCGGUUUAAUUUACUUCUAGUGGCGGCCGGGUGAGUAACGCGUGGGUAACCUGCCUUAUACAGGGGGAUAACAGUCAGAAAUGGCUGCUAAUACCGCAUAAGCGCACAGAGCUGCAUGGCUCAGUGUGGAAAACUCCGGUGGUAUAAGCUGGACCCGAGUUGGUUUAGCUUGUUGGCAGGGUAACGGCCUACCAAGGCGACGAUCCAUAGCCGGCCUGGGAGGGUGAACGGCCACAUUGGGACUGAGACACGGCCGAGACUCCUACGGGAGGCAGCAGUGGGGAAUGUUGCACAAUGGGGGAAACCCUGAUGCAGCGACGCCGCGUGAAGGAAGAAGUAUCUCGGUAUGUAAACUUCUAUCAGCAGGGAAGAUAGUGACGGUACCUGACUAAGAAGACCCGGCUAACUACGUG